UUCGAAAAUAUUAGGGACCCUAAAAUUAAAUCAAUUUUUGUUAUACAGUGGCAUUGUUGCACUAAAAGGACAUCUUACGAAAUCUGUAUACAACAAUUUUCUUUUAUUUUUUGUUGGGAUACACUGUUUAGCCAGUUCAGAUCUUUAUCAAAGUCAUGCUGAUAUGGAAUCUAUCUUACGCGCCUUUGUAAAAAAUGCUAUAAAAAUUUAUGGCAGAGGUUUUAUUAGCUACAAUGUACACAGCCUAAUACACAUUGCAAGUGAUGUAAAAAGAUUUGGAUCUGUUUAUAAUUACUCUGCAUUUCUGUUUGAAAAUUUUCUAGGGUAUUUAAAGCAUUUAAUACAUAAACCUUAUUUACCAUAUCAACAGGUUAUCCGGCGUAUAUCUGAAAGAAAUGGAUCAAUUAUAAGAAACUCUGAUAAAUGUAUGAAGGAAGGCAUUCCCAGGAAGCUGCUUGAAAAUGGUCCUAUUGUUUUAAGAGCACAAACAGAAUGUCUACAGUAUCAAGAAAUUACUUUAAAUGGAAUUUUUUACUCUACUUCAAAAGGAAACAAUUGCAUAAAAAUAAAAAAUGACUUUUGUUUAAUUUGUAACUUUAAAAUUUCAUGGUGAUAAUAGGCAUUUUAUUGUUUAUGAAAAAUUUCUUACUAUUGAACAUUUCUUUAGAUAUCCUGCAAAUUCUUUCGAAUGUUUUGGUAUAGUAAAGGUCUCUAAGUUAUCAUGUCAGUAUGAAUCUGCCACAACAGAUGAAAUACAGAAAAAAUAUGUUAUACUACCAUGCAAGUCCAAAUUUGUUUGUAUUCCUCUGCCUAUGAAGCCUCAAAUGCAUAAAUAAUAAACUGGAAUUUUUUUUUUUCUUUUUUUGCUAAAUUUUUGUAUUAGCGCUCAUUUGCAUAUCAGUAUUAGUAUUUGGUAUUACUGAUUUUUAUGUUUAUCUUUUUAUUUCAGUUAGUAAUGUAAUAUUUAGUUGAAUUUGAGGAUAAAGUGGCGGUGGUUCCUGAUUGCUGGUUGUUACAAGAAUCAGCUACAUGUUAUUGGCCUCAGGGAAUUGGUGCUAAACAAUGGUCAAAAAUGAAAAAGUUAUUAAUUCCUAAUCACAAAGAUUGGCUUCUUUAUUCUUAUAUAAGAAUAUUGAAAAUUGGAGACUAUGAAAAAAUGAAAAAGGCAGAGGCUAAAUCUUUGCACUACACAAAUUUUUCUUCAAGUUGUUCGGAAAUAAAACAUGAUUUGAAGAGGAAAAAUUUGCAAACACAAUGGAGUCCUGACAUUUCAAUUGAGAAAAAGGUAAAAAAGUGAAAAUUCGAAAAUCAAGAAAAAGAAAAAAUCAUGUAGACAGUCAACUUCAACCACUUCCACAGAUCGAGUUGAUAAACCUUCAGCUAGUUCUAGCACAGACAUCAUAUCUUCAAUUCGAGGUAAUGGCAAUGGUUCAAUGUUGUAGUUUAUUAAAGAAAUCCACUAGCUGUUUUGGCCUCAGGGAAUAGGUGCCACAAAAUAGGCAAAAUAAGAAAUGCACUCAUAUUAAAUAAUAAACACUGACCUAUCUAUCCAUAAUUAUGGUUAUUGAAAAGUAGCGGGUUCGAGCUCAAGCUAAGAAGAAGAACUACAAACGCCACAAACGAUGAUGCAUUAAUCACUUCCUACACCACUACAUCUAUAUGUCUAAUUGUACUUACAUUUCACAAAAGGUUUGGUAAACCAGAGCUGAAAGCUGAUGUUAAUGAGCAGUGGCAGAAACAAGCCUGCAUCGGACAAACCAUUAAUGCACCUCUCUCAGAUGCCUUGACUUUUCCACUCCAAGAGAUAAAUGAUCUUCUGGAAAAUCAACCCAAUUGCAAGAUUCUGAGUAGUGAUCAAGAACAAUAAGCUAUAUUUUAUUAAUUUGUGUUUUUUUAUAUCUCUAUUUUAAUAAAUUGUUUAAUAUUUUUUUAAUAUAAUCUGUUAUAUAAUUGUAGAAAUAAUAAUUAUAUAUUUUCUUGCUAUAAUACAUCAAUAAGAUAACCUAAAUGCUUAUUUUAUUGAUGUAUGUUAGCAAGAAAAUAUAUAAAUAUUAUUUAUUGUUGUUAAUCAGAGUAUUAGACUUCUGUGUAGUCAAUUUUUCAUGUGCUGACCAUUAAAUUAAGUGGCUUUUCCUUGCCAUUAGAGGAAUUUUUUUUGGUAAAUUAUUGUGUAAGGUUGGUAUCGGUAAAAAUAUUGUGGAACUGAAUAUCCAAACAAAAUAGAGUCCAGUUCUCAAAAUUAGGAUACAGGUACCCAGGUAAUUGGAUCCAAAUCUUGUAUCCAACUAUGUCCUACACAUCAGGGUUUUACUCUGGUUUUAAAAUUAAAGUGUCAUAUUUCUAAACAUCUCAGAUGUCCUUUUACUUUAAACUAAAAAUUACAAUGAUACUCUCAUUUUAACACCAGAUUAAAACCCUAAUUUAUACACAGGUGAUCUGUGUGAUGGUGGAUUAAAGUUUUAUUUUGAUAGAUAGAUUUUUAUUUUUUCUAUUUUCUGUUUAUCUCUGAUUACUCUUGGUAUUUGUUUAUGCAGGUGCAGUAAGAAAACUAUCCCUAAGCGACAAUAAGUCAACCGGACGAGAUGCUGCCAAAAUGGCUAUCAAGUUCAAUUGACAUGGAUGGUCUCGAAAAAAUCGCUAGGAGAGGCGUAGAGGAAAGUUCUUUAGAAGAUAUUUAAUUUUUAUAUUAAAUGUAAUGAAGUGUUUUUUAUAAUGUGUUUAUUUUCUUUUUUACAUUGCUAUUUUAUUGGAUAUUAGUUGAGAAUAUUUAUCGAAUAAAUUUCUUUUAUAUGA